CGACGUGGAUAACCUGCCUCACACAGGGGAGUAACAGUUAGAAAUGACUGCUAAUACCGCAUAAGCGCACGGCAUCGCAUGAUGCAGUGUGAAAAACUCCGGUGGUGUGAGAUGGAUCCGCGUCUGAUUAGGUAGUUGGUGGGGUAACGGCCUACCAAGCCGACGAUCAGUAGCCGACCUGAGAGGGUGACCGGCCACACUGGGACUGAGACACGGCCCAG
rnacentral:rRNA from 1 species